rnacentral:rRNA from 1 species
AGAGUUUGAUCAUGGCUCAGAACGAACGCUGGCGGCAGGCUUAACACAUGCAAGUCGAACGCACCUUCGGGUGAGUGGCAGACGGGUGAGUAACGCGUGGGAACGUGCCCUUCAGUUCGGAAUAACCCAGGGAAACUUGGGCUAAUACCGGAUACGUGCGAGAGCAGAAAGAUUUAUCGCUGAAGGAUCGGCCCGCGUCUGAUUAGCUAGUUGGUGGGGUAAUGGCCCACCAAGGCGACGAUCAGUAGCUGGUCUGAGAGGAUGAUCAGCCACAUUGGGACUGAGACACGGCCCAAACUCCUACGGGAGGCAGCAGUGGGGAAUAUUGGACAAUGGGCGCAAGCCUGAUCCAGCCAUGCCGCGUGAGUGAUGAAGGCCUUAGGGUUGUAAAGCUCUUUCGUCCGGGACGAUAAUGACGGUACCGGAAGAAGAAGCCCCGGCUAACUUCGUGCCAGCAGCCGCGGUAAUACGAAGGGGGCUAGCGUUGUUCGGAAUCACUGGGCGUAAAGGGCGCGUAGGCGGCUUUGUAAGUCGGGGGUGAAAGCCUGUGGCUCAACCACAGAAUUGCCUUCGAUACUGCAUGGCUUGAGACCGGAAGAGGUAAGUGGAACUGCGAGUGUAGAGGUGAAAUUCGUAGAUAUUCGCAAGAACACCAGUAGCGAAGGCGGCUUACUGGUCCGGUUCUGACGCUGAGGCGCGAAAGCGUGGGGAGCAAACAGGAUUAGAUACCCUAGUAGUCC